rnacentral:lncRNA from 1 species
CUUAGCUUGGGUCAAGCCGUCAGUGAGUAUUAUCCAACAGUUUCUUAUAAAUCAAGUGUGAGUCGUUGAAGCUCCAGUCAACUUCAAUCACUGUUCACAGGAAGUUAUUUCAUUUUGCUGCUAUUUCGACGCCAUCUUUGAAGGGAGAGGUUAAAUGUAGGGGUGCCCAGGUCAGCUCAUGUCUCAACGGCACAUCAUUCCAAGCUAUCUACAUUGGAAUUUGAUUUCUGACUGACACGCUCGCUAUCUACAAAUAUGAUAAAAUAAAUACUGGUAAUAGAGUAAGAUAAUCCAGUAGUUUCUAGAUCAUUGACUGAAGUUUCUUAAAGAUGACUAAGUACUAUUUAAUGACUUCAUUACAAGAGAGGCUAAAGUAAAGAUGAGAUGUGACGUGUUCCUGUCCAGUCAUCCAAACUGCAUGAAGAACAAAGUCUCGCCAAGAAAAUUUUUAAAUAAAAAAAAAUAGGUCCUGCUUCUUCUAAUCAGACAUAGAACAAAUCCUCUCAAUUAAUAUUAAUGAACAUUUGAUAUAAACAUUCCAUUAAAGAAGAACCGCAAAGCAGCGUUUGUCGGCAAAAUAUGUUUUAUCUUGGAUACAAUCACAGACAAUAGUUUUAUUAUAUCAAGCGAGUGACCCCCUAACUAGACAACCUUCAUUCAUUACUAUACUCUUGAUAUUUCCGGUUCUUGUAAUAACACUUUCACGAAAAUGGAAUUUAGGACAGUUAUUUUAUAAGUAUUCAAAACUUACAAACUUACUAAGCAUCAUUGUUCAUAUUCUAAUGAAGUCAGAGUUCUUCGUUGUAACAGCUGUUAGAUAAACUUCCAUUUACUAUUAUAUCUUUCAGCGGAAUCAAAUACUUCCGCUGUGACAGACAAAUAAUGAUGCAGUUCUUUUUCAGCUAAUUUAUAUUUGUGGAAAAGUUUUAUAAUAAGUGAAAUAUGUUUUGUCAUCAAAUAUUUUCUGUGACCAGAAUACUGGCUAGUGGACAGCAUAAACUAUUUGAAUGGAAAAGAGAAUUACGUAUACAGAUAGAAGCCAAUAUAAAUGACAUCUAUAUCAAUGAAAAAUGAGUUCAACUGUGGUCUUUAUCUGCUUCUAGAGAUGUUGCCUUUAUGGUAAUUUCAUAAUGCACAACAGAAUGUGUAUUUGAAACUGUUUGAAAGUCUAGCCAUAAAACCGACCCAUAAAUCUAGUAUUAGUGCAAACAUUAGAUGCUUUCUAGACAUGUAACUCGUAUAACUAACGCCAUUGUUGCUGAACAGUUAACUGGGAUUAAGCAUUUACUCUAUAUUUACAUUUUAGCAACAACAAACGAGAACAAGUUUAAUGUAAUUUUCAGACGUCUGGUAUACAACCCAGCAACUAUUAGCAUAUUUAAUUACACAACCUUUAAAGUGGUUAAUACUUCUUAUAAAAACUUGACUAACAUUAAUCUGGAUAUGAAUAAUUGUUGUUGUGUGCUGACGUAAUUUUACAGAACUGAUAUUCAUAUUCUCUAUGUUUUAUAUACUGCAGAAACAUUCUAACCGAUAGAAGGUAGCAAUUCAUAUAAGUCAAAAGAUAAACAUACGGUGUGUGAGCAGAUAUCUAUCUUGUUACCAAAUAUAAAUUGGCAUGCAGAAAAGUAGAUAAAUGAACUGAUAAGAAAAGUAGAAAGUAUUUUCAGAGAGACAGGGUGGGUACCAAAGCAGCCAAUACUGUCACAUUGGGAGGAUAUAAUGUUGUGGUUGUCUUUUUUAAGGGUUCCAGGUUAUCAUUUAUUUGGUGACAGAUUCUCAAUGCACAAUGUACUUUGAACAUGGUUCUUCAUUUGACUUUUGAGUAGCCGCCAUAGUCAGUAGGAUUAAAGUUAGAAGUUAUUAUACAAAGUUCCUCCAAAUGCAAUGAUCGGAUGGAAGUGUACUAAUAUGUAUUGAAUAUAAUAAUGAACACACACUUGAUAGAUUUAUUUAAAUCUACUUCAACUGUUUCUUCGAAGUUUGGACAAAACAGCUCUACACGCUUCAGUACAUUUUGAUAUCGGAAGAAAAACUAAAUUGAGAAGCAAACCAGCCUUUUAUCAAAGAUGGAAAGACUAUAGCAUUUAAAUUUAUCAGUAUAGAUAAACUUGAAUUAUGCAUUCGGCCGUAAGCCUCACAGAAUUUAUGAGAAAUUUGCAUUUUUUUGCUUAAUAAUUCGUAUUAUUUUUUAAGGAUAUCUAUAUUGCAUAUUCUAAUUGGUUCAUUGAGUCUAAAUGUAACAUAUUUCAUAUGAUUCGGUUAUCAGAAAACCUUUUAAUUAACCUUCAGAAAAUAAUAUCCGAAUGACAAUACUAGUUAUGGAAAAACCAAGCAAUUUGGUUAUCAUACAAACUUAAGGCACCUCCUCAGAAAGGGUACAUACCGAUGGGGUGUUUAUUUAACAAUGAACUGAGCGUAGAAAAAGAGUCAAAACACAAUCUAGAGGAUGUUAUUAAAAUUAUCUUUUGAAAUUGAAAUGUUUUAAUUCUGAACAAAA